rnacentral:lncRNA from 1 species
CCGGAACCCAUUCGUCAUUCCCGGUACAUUCCCGGUAACUCCGAAAACCUUCCGGUAAUCAAAUGAGGUCAUCCUAUAUAUCAAUCUUCGUUUCUGGACCAUUCCGGAAACCCUCGUGACGUCCGUGAUCUCAUCCUGGACUCCGAACAACAUUCAGUAACCAACCAUAUAACUCAAAUACGCAUAAAACAACGUCGAACCUUAN